ACGUGGCUGUAAUGCCCCCACACAUUGGGGACCAACCACUAACUGGGGCCUACACAGUGACCCUGGAUGGACGAGGGCCCUCGAGGGUCAUAUCCAAGCAUGAUCUGGCCACUUCAUGCUACGGUGCCUCACCACCCAUGAGUAUGACGGACAGAAGACCUACCCUUCCCACCAAUAUGACUAGGACCCUGGCCCUGGCUGGGAGGGUCCCAUCCUGAGAAAUGGCACACAUGGAGGGAUCAAUACAUUUUUAGCCAAGAACUUCAAAUUCUUUCAGAAAACCUAAUCCU
rnacentral:lncRNA from 1 species